rnacentral:lncRNA from 1 species
UUAUUAUGUGCGUACUUGCUGGCUUGUUGCUCGGUGCUUUGUCUGGGUGUUGGGCUGCUGAUGGCCUGAUGUUGAUGCUUUGUUGUAAUAUUUGUAUAAUGUUUGUAUCUUCUAUGAAGCUACGAAGAUAUGCUUUGUUGUAUACUGACUUUUUUGCUUGCUGCGGUUGACCUGUUGAUGUUGCUACUGUGCUGGCCAGGGAGUGAGUCAAGUGACAUAUAGACACAAGAAAUAUUUAGUUAUGAGGAUUGAAGAAAUUAAUGAUCAUUCAGUCAUUGAGGAUUUGAGAAGAGGCAUCAAUGCUCUAGUAGAGAUGUUAUUGAAGUUGUGGCUGUCAAUAGUCCUUUUAUUGAUGCUAAGUACAUGGUAAGGAAAUAAUGCUAUAUGAUUUGCAUAUUUUUUUGCUACGAGAACUUCUCCAACUGAAACUCAAAGUUUAGGUGUUCAACUCAUAGUUUUGCAGUAGUUAGUUUUGUACUACUUUGUAUCAAAAUUGCAUCAGACCAUGUUGCACGGUAUUUCGAGCAUAGAAAAAUUACUUAACACCUAAUUUUGCACAAUUGGGUUCCUACUUUUUUCUGUUAUUAGGUGCAAUGACAGAAAUCAUCUAGUGGGAUGUUCUACUGCAUCGGAAUUUGACAAAUUUAAUUCUGCCAUUAUAUUCUUCCCUUCACUGCUCAAGUUAACACCCCUCCUCCCAUUUGUUGUCCCAUAUGUUCAAGUAUGAAUCCAGUCAUGGCCCCUUUAAAGGAUCCAUUAAGAUCGUGGAUGAUUCAGUAUUGGAGAUUAAUGUGAAAAGAUCACAACCAUGGGCGAAAGGUAAAUAUGCCAGGGUUAGCUAAUUGUUUGCCAUAUUAGUGCGGUUGAUAUAUAUGUCGUGGUUUCUAAAUAUGCAUGACAUGUUGUCCUGAAAUAAGGACAUGUGAAGCAAUGGAGUCGCAAAAGUAACAUUAUUAGUUAAUAAUUGAUUUAUAGUUUAGAGCCCCAUGUUUUUCGCACAUUCAUAUGGACAUAUAAUAGCUUAUACGCGCACGCUUGUUGUACAUCUGGAGUACUGCUUGUUCCUUCUCUUAUUUUGAUUCUUAUGUUCACAUGUUGAUUUUCUGUCAUAGAGGGAAAGGAGAAGUCUGAAUGCGCCAACAAGUAGCGACGAAUGAGCUGUCGUCUAUGGAUUGGUUAAGGGAGGAGUUGUCUUGCGCUACAAGGGCAUCUUGCAGAUCGAUUUCCUUGGUUUGAUGUGUCUCAGAUUCUAAUUAGUAUUUAAUUUCCUCAGUUUUAACUUAUAACCGGACAAAAAUUUUUAUUGCACCUAAAUAUUUGAUUAUGAAUCUAAGUUAUGGGAAAUAGGUGGAGUAAAAGGAAAUGAGGCGUUGUUCGAUGGGGCCUUGCCACGGUUGCCUUGAGUUUUCGCAUCGAAGCACCACUUUGUAUGGCUGGCCUUCCAUGGCUACAUCGAGGGUCCCAAUGUGCAGGUGAGCUCUUCUUUUCAUUGCAGGUUAUGAGUCAUCUCCACCUCAAUGAGAUUUAGUUUCCACAUUAACGACUAUAGGUUUAUUAAUAUUUUGGAGUGGUCUACUUUCAUUGUCUCCGGUUCAGUUGUGUAUUUCUUUUCGCCCAUGUUCGCUUCAGUAUUCCCUUCCAAUUCUCACACUAUGGUUGCAGCUUCUUUAUUUAUGUUGGAUUGUUCUGUGAAUUGCCACCAUGACACUUGUUGAAAAUAGUGUUGUCAGGUGAUAAUCAUUCUUGGCAGUGAUUAUUGUUGUGGAUGGGAUAUUGAUGCAGACAUACCACGAAGGGAAGAUCUGCCUCACUGUGCACUUCAGGCGCGCGCACACUAGCGAUGGUACAGGAUUGGCUUCCUGGUGGAAUCAGGUGCGCGUCGUCCAUGGUGGCCUGUCGUGGGUGUUGGUGGGCCGCUGGAGGCGGCUGUAGCAGGUCGAUUUAUUUGACUACUGAAAAUGAGCUUCAGAAUAUCUGUAGAACAUAGCCACUUCCAGCCAAAUAUCAAUUUUGAUAAAUCCACCAUGUACCAUGAUCAUUUGAACAGUCUUGCUUAAGUUUAUGUUAGCCCUGUAUGCUAAUUUGAGGAGAUUGUUAACUUUAAGGUGCGAACAUUUAUAAAAUGAUAAUUGUACGGAUUUUUUGGGAUUUUACGAUUCCUAUGGAAUUAAGAGGUCAUCUAUUGGCCUAUCCCUAUUUGUAAUUUCAAAUAGUUAUUUUUUGGUGCACUUCUAUUUUAGAAAUGAAUCAGUAGCCAAUUAUGCUUGAUGUUUCAAGGAGAACUAGAAUUGGUAAACAACAAUCUGUGAAGCAUCUAUGGAGGCGGGAGUCUAGUUUGGUUUUUUGCUAUGUGCCUAUUUGCUUAAGAAAAUACUUGACUAGAGAGCAGAUUCCAAAUGGAGUUGCAUUUUCAUGCGUUGGGGGCAGAAGUAGAAUAAAUAGUAAAUCUUGAUCUUAUGGAGUGAUGAUUUACAUUCUUUGUGUGAUGAGAUAAUACACAACCUAGGUGUUAUUUAGCUUUCUACUGUAGAACAACUGACUAUCAUGAUGUGUAGUUUUUGAAUAUUGAGUCCUCGAGUUUUGGGGAAUGGUGCGCUCUAAUUUGGAAGUGGUAUUUCCUAAUGUAUUCGCACAGUUAGAUAUCAUAUUAUAUAUUUUUUCUCUUACUUGAAAUUUCUGCCAUGCAAAGCUAGGUUGUCUUUGAUUUGUUGUUGUGCUAGGUAUUGACCAGACUGGCUUGUUUGGCUAACCUUCCUUUCCUUUUAUUUUGCAGGCUCUAGAAUCUCUAAGGUUGCUCCUUCUAUGUUCCUUUGGUCAAGGUUUGUCCUUGUCAUUCUUUUCUAAGCACUGCACUUUUCUACCCUAUUUGGUUACUG